rnacentral:rRNA from 1 species
AUACGUAGGUGACAAGCGUUAUCCGGAUUUACUGGGCGUAAAGGGCGUGUAGGCGGUCUUGCAAGUCAGAAGUGAAAUUCCUGAGCUCAACUCGGGCGCUGCUUCUGAAACUGCAGGACUUGAGUGCUGGAGGGGAUAGCGGAAUUCCUAGUGGAGCGGUAAAAUGCGCAGAUAUUAGGAAGAACACCGGUGGCGAAGGCGGCUAUCUGGACAUUAAUUGACGCUGAGGCGCGAAAGCGUGGGGAGCAAAAAGGAUUAGAUACCCUGGUAGUCCACGCCGUAAACGAGGAAUACUAGGUGUAGGGGGUAUCGACUCCCUCUGUGCCGCAGUUAACACAAUAAGUAUUCCGCCUGGGGAGUACGGCCGCAAGGUUGAAACUCAAAUGAAUUGACGGGG